UCCUUAUCUAUACAGGUUUUCCAGAAAAUCUGUCCCCCUUGGGGAUAACGUGCACUAAGUCAAGAAACGCAUGACAAGGGCCAUAAAUUGUAAAGACUGACUGACUGACUGA